AAGUGUGGUUUUAUUACUUCUUUAACUCUGUGUGAAAGCAACUGAUUUUAUCUCUUUUCAUGAAUUCAAACAAUGGAAACUGUUUUUUUUUCCCUUCAAUCUAUGAACUAUGCUAUUUUGCAUUCAUAAUGUUUCUGAUUUUGAAAUUCAGGAUUUGCUACAGAUUCAUCAGGGAAUGUGAUAUCUGGAGACAGUGGUCUUCAUAAUCAACGGCAGUGUAGUAUACUGUGAUAGGACAAUAUGCAAAACAAGCAGUUUACUGGGAAACCUCCUUGGAGCGAGUUUGAGGGGAUAUGUAUGCUGAAUGCAAGGCUGGCAAGAACAGAAAACAUGACUCAUGAUGUGAUUAGAGAUUUGCUUAGAGUCAAGUUGGACAUGACUAACUAUCUUGCAAGUUAAACCAACA